rnacentral:rRNA from 1 species
UACUGAUCCACUACCACCCUGAAUGCGCUGGAUCUUGUCUGAUCUUGGAAGCUAAGUAGUGUCGGGCCUGGUUAUUACUUGGAUGGGAGAAC